GUUCUGGACCGCAGAGUGGUGAAGGGAAGAGUAGAGUUUCUGCUGAAAUGGAAGGGGUUCUCAGAUGAGGAUAACACAUGGGAGCCGCAAGACAACCUGGAACUUGACCUUAUCGCCGAGUACAUGCAGAAACACAAGGAGACGGAGGAGAAGAAGAAGGAGGGCAAGAGGAAAGGUGUCGGGAAGGAGGAGGCACCUUCAGCAGACGGCAAGCUGGCGACCAGAGCAGGAAAGAAGGGCAAGAAGGAGGAGGUGG